rnacentral:rRNA from 1 species
GACGAACGCUGGCGGCGUGCUUAAGACAUGCAAGUCGUACGAGAAAGUCUCUUCGGAGAUGAGUAAAGUGGCGCACGGGUGAGUAACGCGUGGGUAAUCUGCCCUUAGGUUUGGGAUAACCCCGGGAAACCGGAGCUAAUACCGAAUGAGACCACGAUGACUUCGGUCGAUGAGGGAAAAGGUGGCCUCUUCUUGAAAGCUAUCGCCAAAGGAUGAGCCCGCGUUUGAUUAGCUAGUUGGUGAGGUAAUGGCUCACCAAGGCGACGAUCAAUAGCUGGUCUGAGAGGAUGAUCAGCCACACUGGAACUGAGAUACGGUCCAGACUCCUACGGGAGGCAGCAGUCAGGAAUAUUGGGCAAUGGGCGAAAGCCUGACCCAGCAACGCCGCGUGAAGGAUGAAGGCCUUCGGGUCGUAAACUUCUGUCGAGAGGGAAGAAUGCGUACGGGUGAAUAAUCCGUGCGUUUGACGGUACCUCCAAAGGAAGCACCGGCUAACUCCGUGCCAGCAGCCGCCGUAAAAC